rnacentral:tRNA from 1 species
CAAAAAGUAGCUUAAAAAAAGCAUUCGAUUAACGACCGAAUUAUAUUGUUCCCCGAUCUUUUUGA